GCGACGCCGUCUCUGAGGUUUACGGAGGGAGCAGAGCACCGAGAGCCCAGUGCAGACCAGACAGCCGCCUCGCCAUGAAGAUCACAGGAGCUGUUCUACUCUUCUCUCUGGCCCUCUAUUGCUCCUACUCAGAUGCUGCUGGCAGCCCUGGUGAGGGUUUCUGCAGUGAGUACACGGCACCUCCUACAGCAUGCCAGGAGAUUUACAAACCUGUCUGUGGCACUGAUGGCAACACGUACAGCAACAAAUGCACCUUUUGCAUUGC